UUAACCUAUUUUUAAGGUUCCAUGGCUUGCCAUAGAUACCUGGUCGCCCCCAUUUUUUUCGUGAAUCCGAUCUCCCCGCCGGCGGCGAUCCAAAUCCACCAGGGCGAGACCCCCUCUCGUCCCCGCGGCACACCACCGUGACCUCGUAUUUUUUGGAGCCAACUACCUCCACACGCAUGCGGGGGUCGCCAAUUGACAGCGACGGAGUGGGCUGCGACGAACUCGAGCAGCUAGGGAGAAUACGAGCUCGGCUGCGUUUGUCCCGUCGCCAGAUAUGGUCGGGGGUGCGAAUCCCCUCCUCUUCGUCCAUCUCUAGCAGAUCUAGUGGCGCUCUACUCUAGCAGAAGGGGUUCAGCGACGACUAGCCUACGAGGUCCAGCCGGGUGGGGUGGCGAUCUACUCUCUCUCGCAUCCCCUGCUGGACAAGAUUGAUCAGGAACUAUUGGGCCGUCCACCUGAUGGAUUUGUGCCUGGUGGAUGGACACAUCUGUUGAACACAACCGUGAAAGGAAGACUGUUGAACGUGUGCAAGAUCUCCGCCCAGGGCCUGGUGCCGACAGAUUAAAGAAACUUGUCAUAGGUUUGCUCACCCAAGAAGGUUUUCAUGGCAAGCAUUGCUUGUGAAACUCCCAGCAAGAUGGUUAUGGGGUAGAUUACACGGUCAAAUCUUGGGGGACAAUGAGCCAUUAGCUAGUGAUUUCUACUACCUGAAGAAGCAGCACGUAGCAUCAAAUCUUCGGGGAUGCAAUGGUAAGAUUGGUGCUCUUAUAGACAACUGCUUGAGUUGAGUUACCAUACAGCAGGAGACCACUGAUGUAUCAGGCAGAGAUUAUACAGAACUAGUAGCUCAUUAGGUUAUGUUAGAUGAUUAUAUCAGGCCCCAACCAUUAAUAAUGUUGGAAUUGUUUACAUCUCUGCUCUGCGGCUUGUGCAAGGUGGUCCAUUCUUCAUUCAGAAGCCAUGGCUCCCGGUGUUCACCAACUAUUAGCGUGUGAGACUUCGUUGUAUUGAACUAUUGAUUAGUGGAAAUUUCAGGGCAAACUGAUACAUUUGAUUGCACACGUAUUCUUUUAUUUCUUCCCCUUUUUUGGAUUUGGAUGAGUAUAGCAAAAUGCUUAUGCCGUUCUUCCCUACAUUUGGUCAAUUUGCGCAUUUCUGUUUGUGCGUGUGGUGGAGAGAGAGUUAGCAAAUGCAGUUGAGAUUUGGAACAUCAUGUGUUUUGUGUUGUUUUCUGGAGUCUUGAUCGUUUAUAAAGUGGGUUUCAACUUCA